rnacentral:lncRNA from 1 species
UGCCCAUGUUUUGGCAUUACAAAAUGUAGAAUAAGUAGAAUAGAUGCCUCUCACAAAGUGUGGAGGUGAAAUCUCAUAUAUAUAUAGCUGAGUUACAGUUAGUGCUACAAAAGACCAAGAGUUACACUUAAUGCUAGUGCUGAGUUUACACUAAAUUCUAUAAGUUACAUAAGCCCAAAAGUCUAGAAGAGAAACAGUCUAAGGAUUAAUAAAUAAUCCUAAUACAAAAUUAUGGUAAGGUAGAAAAUCAAACCAGCCUUUAAGUACAUAAGAUCUAACAAGGUCAGACUAUAUUAGAUGGAUAAGUAUCUAUAUUUCAUUAUGCUUAUCACAUACUCCCUCCAUCCCAAAAUAAGUGUAGUUUUGCACUGUUCAUGUCCAACGUUUGACCGUUUGUCUUAUUUGAAAAAUUUUUAUGACUAAUACUUUUAUUGUUAUUAGAUGAUAAAACAUGAAUAGUACUUUAUGCUUGACUACUUUUUUAAAUUUUUUUCAUAAAUUUUUCAAAUAAGACAAACGGUCAAACGUUGGACACGGAUACCCACGGCUGCACUUAUUUUGGGACGGAGGUAGUACAUCACACCACCAAUUAAAAUCACUGUGACUAAUAUCCCAUCAUAUAAUGCACUUAUCCACAUGUUAUUCCGCAAGCAAGUGAAGAACAGCAAUUGUCACAUGUUAUUCCGCAAGCAAGUGAAGAACAGCAAUUGUACAACUUGAUCAUAACUUACAACAGCAAUGACCUCAAUGGUCCAUAUCAUAUCUACUGCUAUUUCUUUCAAGUGUCCACAGCUUGUAUAAUCAUGAAAAGAAUAAUAGAA